rfam:Octopus bimaculoides Scaffold79438_contig_37, whole genome shotgun sequence.
AUAAUUACCUGACACAAAGGUUAACUAUGAUCAUCUGGGUGGUUCUCCCAAAGUGAGGCCCUUCCAUUGCACUCCGGUUGGGUUGAUCUUUGCGAUCGCCCCAAAUGUGGGCGACUCGGGAGUAUCAUUUCUAAGUAAGUCAAACAUCUUUAAAAGAUCUCUGC